rnacentral:rRNA from 1 species
GAUGAACGCUGGCGGCGUGCUUAACACAUGCAAGUCGAACGGAAAGGCUCCUGCUUGCAGGGGUACUCGAGUGGCGAACGGGUGAGUAACACGUGGGUGAUCUGCCCUGCACUUCGGGAUAAGCCUGGGAAACUGGGUCUAAUACCGAAUAGGACCACAUUUUGGAUGGUGUGGUGGAAAGUUUUUCGGUGUGGGAUGAGCUCGCGGCCUAUCAGCUUGUUGGUGGGGUAAUGGCCUACCAAGGCGUCGACGGGUAGCCGGCCUGAGAGGGUGUACGGCCACAUUGGGACUGAGAUACGGCCCAGACUCCUACGGGAGGCAGCAGUGGGGAAUAUUGCACAAUGGGCGCAAGCCUGAUGCAGCGACGCCGCGUGGGGGAUGACGGCCUUCGGGUUGUAAACUCCUUUCGCUAGGGACGAAGCGCAAGUGACGGUACCUGGAGAAGAAGCACCGGCUAACUACGUG